rnacentral:lncRNA from 1 species
CUGGGCCUCGGGGCGCAGGCGGAGGGGACGCGCGCGGGACGCCCGGGCUCGCGGGGCUCGGCGGGCGGGCGGCGGGGCCGGCGGCUCUGGGGGCGCCCGCGGACUUCCCGGCGCGCUGGGUCCAGUGGUUCUUAACAGUUCAACAGUUCUGUAGCGCAAUUGUGAAAUGUUUAGGACCACUAGCCCCGGCGGGCCCGGCGGCGGCGGCCGGACGCCCACGCGCCCCUGCGAGGAGCCAGCCGGCCCGGGCGCGGGGUCCCGGGCGGGCCGGGGCGGGCCGGGGCGGGCGGCGGGCGCGGGGACCGCGGGGUGCGCAGCGGGGCGGCCCCACCCCGCGUGCGCCGGGUCCCUCCGUACCUGGUACCUGCCGGCGGCCCGCGCUCCCCGGGCUUUCGGGCUUCCCCGGCGGGCCAACUGCUCACCACCCGCUCCGUGGGAGCGCCCUGGAGCCCCGCGCCGCCGGGCAGAGGCCACCCUGCUCUCAGGAGUCCAGAGGCUCUUGGCAGUGAUGCUGCCCCCUGACCGCGCAGCCGGUUGGCCGUGACUUAAUACGACAGCGCUCUCCGCCAUCCGCUCGGCCCAAAACCCGGCCUGCGGUGCUGAGCCUGCUCUAGCUGUGCACACAGAGGGCCUCCCCGGACAUGGUCGCAGGAAUCAUCCUGGCUUGCCGGGGACUUUCUGGUUCUAGCGCCCAAAGUCUCAUGGCCUAGGAGACCCCCUCCGUCUGGGCAACCUGACACAGUUGGUGGCUCUGCCUGGGACCGGCUCGGCAGACACAGCCCCAGCUCCUGGGACGGCUGACGGCCUGUCUUCCGCAGAGAAAUAAACUUGUGUCUCGUUAAAGCCGCGGUUAUUUCCGUCUCUAUCAAAGUAGCUAAACCAGUAUUCCGAGUC